AACGAACGCUGGCGGCAUGCCAAACACAUGCAAGUCGAACGAGAUCUUCGGGUCUAGUGGCGCACGGGUGCGUAACGCGUGGGAAUCUGCCCUUUGGUUCGAAAUAACAGUUGGAAACGACUGCUAAUACCGGAUGAUGACGAAAGUCCAAAGAUUUAUCGCCAGAGGAUGAGCCCGCGUAGGAUUAGCUAGUUGGAGUGGUAAAGGCGCACCAAGGCGACGGUCCUUAGCUGGUCUGAGAGGAUGAUCAGCACCACUGGGACUGGGACACGGCCCAGACUCCUACGGGAGGCAGCAGUGGGGAAUAUUGGACAAUGGGCGAAAGCCUGAUCCAGCAAUGCCGCGUGAGUGAUGAAGGCCUUAGGGUUGUAGAGCUCUUUUACCCGGGAUGAUAAUGACAGUACCGGGAGAAUAAGCUCCGGCUAACUCCGUGCCAGCCGCCGCAGUAA
rnacentral:rRNA from 1 species